UUAGGUUCCUUGAGCAAGCCAUUGUUUCUUGAAACCAAAAUUACCUAAUGGGUGCAGUAUUUGGGGGGAAAAAUGAAGCCUAAGGGAGAAUACUACAAAGGAAAACUUAUGAACUGAUAAGAGAAGCCAACCAGGAAGGACAUACAAGUAUGAAUGAGUGUUUCUUUAGAAAAAUGUGAGAAUAAACUGAUACGGAAUAUUGGUACCAAGAAGCAGGGCACUGCUAUAAGGAUACCUGAAAAUGUGGAAGCAGCUUUGGAAUUGAGAAAGCAGCAGAAGUUGGAAGAGUGUGGAGGGUUCAGAAGAAGAGAG
rnacentral:lncRNA from 10 species